GUGUGUGUGUGUGUGUGUGUGUGUGUGUGUGUGUGUGUGUGUGUGUGUGUGUGUGUGUGUGUGUGUGUGUGUGUUAAACUGAAGGACAACCAACACGUUAGCUGGCAUCCAUUCCUUGUAUUUCAAAUAAAAUGUUAUGCCCCGAAUACAACAGGUGUAGUAGACCUUACCAUGAAAUGCUUACUUACAAGCCCUUAACCAACAAUGCAGUUCAAGAAAUAGAGUUAAGAAAAUAUUUACUGAAUAAACGAAAGUUAAAAAUAAAAAAAAAUCAACGUAACACAAGAAAAUGACAACAAUAACGAGGCUAUAUACAGAUGGUACCGUGUGCAGGUUAGUCAAGGUCAUCUGUACAUAUAGGUGGGAUAAAGUUGCUCUGCAUAGAUAAAGAGCAGUGAGUAGCAGCAGUGUAAAAACAGGUGGAUUGGGGGUAGAAUCUGUUAAGGAGCCUUUUGAAUCGAGACUUUGCUCUCCAGUACUGCUUGUCGUGAGGUAGCAGAGAGAACAGUCUAUGACCUGGGUGACUGGAGUCUUUGACCAUUUUUUGGGCUUUCCUCUGACACCGCCUACUAUAUAGGUCCUGGAUGGCAGGAAGCUUGGCCCCAAAAAUGUACUGGGUCGUACGCACUACCCUCUGUAAUGCCUUACGUUCAGAUGCCGAGCAGUUGCCAUACCAGGCGGUGAUGCAACCAGUCAGGAUGGUGUAACUGUAGAACGUUUUGAGGAUCUGGGGCCCCAUGGCAAGUCUUUUCAGUCUCCGGAGGGGGAAAAGGUGUUGUCCUGCCCUCCUCACAACUGUCUUGGUGUGUUUGGAACAUGAUAGUUGGUGAUGUGGAAACCAAUGAACUUGAAGCUCUCAACCCGCUCCACUACAGCCCCGUUGAUGUUAGUGGGGGCCUGUUCGGCCCACCUUUUCCUGUAGUCCACGAUCAGCUCCUUUGUCUUGCUCACAUUGAGGGAGAAGUUGUUGUCCUGGCACUUCCACUGUUGUCGUCAGCAAACUUAAUGAUGGUGUUGGAGUCGUACCUGGCCACGCAGUUGUGGGUGAACAGGGAGUACAGGAGGGGACAAUGCAAACACCCAUGAGGGGCCCCCGUGUUGAGGAUCAGUGUGGCAGAUGUGCUGCUUACCUACCCUCACCACCUUGGGGGCGGCCUGUCAGGAAGUCCAGGAUCCAGUUGCAGAGGGAGGUGUUUAGUCCCAGGGUCCUUAGCUUAGUGAUGAGCUUUGAGGGCAUUAUGGUGUUGAACGCUGAGCUGUAGUCAAUGAACAGCAUUCUCACAUAGGUGUUCCUUUUGUCCAGGUGGGAAGGGCAGUGUGGAGUGUGAUUGAGAUUGCCUCAUCUGUGGAUCUGUUGGGGCGGUAUGUAAAUUGGAGUGGGUCCAGGGUGUCCGGGAAGAUGCUGUUGAUGUGAGCCAUGACCAGCCUUUCAAAGCACUUCAUGGCUACCGAUGUGAAAAUCAUUUAGGCAGGUUACCUUCCGUCUGUGUGUGUCUGUGUAGCUCUAACAACAUCAUUAACAUAAAGCUGUUUAAUGAUAAAACCUGUCUCCUCCCCUCCCUCCAUCAUAGAUGAUGUGUUGCCUGUAACAGGAGGGUAGCUGGGCCGUGGAUAGAGAGAUGGAGGGAGACAGGGAUGUAGGGUAGCUGGGAUGGAAGGAAGGAGGCAGAGGGGGGAUAUGACACCGAAAAGGAGACGAUCAUUAGUUUAAUUCAUGAGGGGUGCUGGUUAAGUGCCAGAUAGUCGCUCUGAGCGCUAAUGGUCCUCUCUCUCUUUCUCUCUCUCAUUCCUCUCUCUCUUUCUCUCUCUCAUUCCUCUCUCUCUUUCUCUCAUUCCUCUCUCUCUUUCUCUCAUUCCUCUCUCUCUUUCUCUCUCUCCUCUCUCUCUCUCAUUCCUCUCUCUCUCUCAUUCCUCUCUCUCUUUCUCUCUCUCAUUC
ensembl:lncRNA